rnacentral:rRNA from 1 species
CAGCCGCCGCGGUAAUGCGUAGGUCCCGAGCGUUGUCCGGAUUUAUUGGGCGUAAAGCGAGCGCAGGCGGUUAGAUAAGUCUGAAGUUAAAGGCUGUGGCUUAACCAUAGUACGCUUUGGAAACUGUUUAACUUGAGUGCAAGAGGGGAGAGUGGAAUUCCAUGUGUAGCGGUGAAGUGCGUAGAUAUAUGGAGGAACACCGGUGGCGAAAGCGGCUCUCUGGCUUGUAACUGACGCUGAGGCUCGAAAGCGUGGGGAGCAAACAGGAUUAGAUACCCCGGUAGUCCCUGUCUCUUAUACA